CCCUUAGAUGUUCUGGGCAGCACGCGCGCUACAAUGGUCUUCGCAAACGGAUGCAUUCUCGAAGGAGAAUGCCAAUCUUGGAAUCUAUGCCUUGGUCGGGACAGUUGCUUGCAAUUUUUCGACUCGAACCAGGAAUUCCUUGUAAUCGUGAUUCAUCACAUCACGAUGAAUACGUCCCUGCCCUUUGUACACACCGCCCGUCGCUCCUACCGAUCGAAGAGUUAGGUGAACUGUUUUGAUCGAUAAGAUUUGACUAUGGUCAACUCUCGUUGUGAAAUUCUGUGAAUCUGACUGUUUAGAGGAAGGAAAAGUCGUAACA
rnacentral:rRNA from 1 species